rnacentral:misc_RNA from 1 species
GGAAUUCCUUGCAUUCCAUUUUCUGCAGGGCAACCACACGAUUCACAGCUCCUAGAUGUCAUUCUUCCACUUCUAAAGCACCUCUCGCUGCAGAACGACGUCAGGCCGGUGCUGUACGAAAGAUUCCAUAUGCCUGAAUGGUUUCAGAAGCAUGGAAUUCAAACCUAAGUUAAAUGAAGAUUUGUGCAAGAAAAAAGGUACAUUCUUCUCUGCACCAUGUCAACAGUUA